CGCGCAUUCGGGUGAAAACAAAGAAAAUUCGUGAAACUUACCUCGCUCGUCGAUGUUCGCAAAAGUUGCAGUGAAUUUUCGCCUUCGAAGAUAUUACGUUUUCUUCUCGUUUCCUGACUGAAUUUCAUAAAACCCUUAUAGUACAAUGCAUUGUGCUUUGGAUGGUGAUAAAUUUGCUUGGAUCGGCGAGUUAAAAGCAGUGAAUUUUUAAUAGAAACGUUCACACGAAACGCGAAUAUGCCGUCGCCGAUAACAGGGUGUUGCAAAGGCAUGGUGCUGUCAAAUCGACUGCGCUACCACUUCUGUAACGACAAGCGCAUAUGACAGUUGGCAGUGUUCAUGGCGUGCUGGAAAGAAAUUUGCAAACACAAGUACCAACUGUGUGGGAAUUUUGCAUUGGAAGUGUGAAAACUAUGUUGUGGCGGACAAUAGGCUUCUCUGAAGUAAGCAUCUCAAUAUAAACAACGAAAUCGGAAAGUACCGGAUAAAUAUCCACCCUAGCACUGGAAGUUUUGGCGCAAAACGUUUAAAGAGUUGCUUUAUCGAACUACCACAACAGAAAAUUAUUUUUACAGUAGAUUUUAUGAUAACACCUAGUGAACGUUUCAAAUAUACCAUCUAAUUUUCAUUUUCCAAAUUGAAUUUUGAUUCAAACUAAUCUCUUUAAACUAUAAGCAAACGGGAAGGUUUCCUUGAUUGGUACGACGUUUUUUAUAUUCUUGUGAAGUUUGAUCUCCAUGUGUCAAAAAAUAUAUAAAAUGCAUUUUUUUGCUAAAUUUAUCCGACUUAAGAUUUAUGCAAUGGGUGUGCAAGCAAUUUCUAAAAAACAUCCUCUUGUAUGUUUAUUAAUUUCAUUACAACUCAAAAUGAUAUCAAAUGUAUUAGAAUAUGUGUGUUAAAGGGUAUCUUAAAGUUUACACCACCAUUACUUGACGUCAGCGAAGAAAACUUCGUAAGUCAUGUCGGCCCAGUUGACUGACAACUAAAAACUUUGAAAGCCAUCAUUUAUUAAAUAACAAGUCGGAAGAAUCAAAUCGACAGAGUUGGUUUAACUUCGUAGUAGCGGCAGCUGCAACUAAAGUAAACUUCAGUAAUGAAAUUCCAACAUACAAAUACAAAUGUGAGAAGUACGAAAUCAACAUGCUGUUUUUAAAGCAAAUAGAAGUGAAGUGACUAACACAAGGUGGAAAUAUUACAGCCAGACUAGCGCUAUUUCCGUAAAACAUGUAUCCAUAUUUGUCUGUUGCAUGCUUCAAGGCGCUUAGAUACUGUGUGCUGCCGAGUGAUUCGAGCGAAAUGCAUAAUUGUAAUAAGCAUAUGUAUGUAUUUCCUUUUUAGUAUGAAAAUAACGAAAAAGAUGUAUGAAAGUUUGCGUGAUGCAAACACGAAUUUAUGCAUAUGUAUCUGUGUACGUGUAUCUUAUAUGUAUAUAUGUACAUAGUAUGUAUAUUUUAUGGAUAUAUGCAUUUGCAUCCCUUACUGCUGUACAAGUGUCUGUGCGUUUGCACACUCAUGACCGCUUGAGUAAAUAAUAAAUGGGCCAGACGUAGGCGUCAUUGAGUCUGGGCUGCAUUAAUAAUUCGCACAGUAGAAAGGAAAAGGAAAUACAAAAACAAAUUUCUUUUGGAAUGACGUUGAGCAGGCAAGCAGUGGGCGUUGAAGUCAGAUGCCAUAAUUUCUUUGUACAUUUAUUCGUAUUUGCUCGCAUGUUCUUAUACACGAAGUUUGUGCUUAGGAAAUGGGUGAGUAAAGAAUUUCCACGCGUUGAGUAUAUUUGGCGAACGAAAUGCCUUCGGUAUGGCAUCAGACUUAUUUUUGUGAGAGAUGUUUGUAACUUCGAAAACUUUUGUGUAUAUUUUUAUUAUUUAUCCAUAGUUUAGGAUGCAC
rnacentral:lncRNA from 1 species